rnacentral:misc_RNA from 1 species
AACAAGGCGUACCUGCGGACCUGCGGAAGGAUCAUUACCGAGUACCGGGUCUUCGGGCCCUGCUCCCACCCCAUGUGUAUCUACCUCUUUUUCGUUGCCUCGGCGGGGUUGAUCCUGCGCGGCCCCUGUGGCCGCGUGGGGGACCCGCCGGGGGGACACACUAAACUCUAAUUUAACGUCGAGUCUGAGAAAACACAAAUAAGUCAAAACUUUCAACAAUGGAUCUCAGAUCGGAAGAGC